GCCUAAUUUUAACUAAGCUCAGCCAGUAGAGCAUGAGGCACUUAAUCCCAGGGUCGUGGGUUCGAACCCCAUAUUGGGCA